CGGCCCGGGCGGUGCGGGCCGCCCGCCACCGCCACCGGGGCCGGGGUCGAUGGGCUCGGCGGAGGCCGCGAUGACAACGGGGUCAGGCGAGGACACGGGGCCCGCGCACCCGCACGCGUGCGCACAGCGCCGCGCACCGGGCCGCACAGCCCCGACCCUGUCCUGAGCGGCGCUGGGCGGGCACCGCCGGCACCGGCGGGGCUCCGCGGCCGGAUCGUCCUGCAGAGGGUGGAAAUCGCCGCUCCCCGGUGGAGGCCGCAGCCACAGGGCUCUCCCCGGCUGCAGCAGCCCCUCCAAAUCCCAGCCCGGGGCCAGGAGCCCAGCACCGCACUCAGCAGCCCGCGGCCCUGGUCCAAGAGACUCCUCCGGCUUCACCCAAGAGAACGAACUACUGCCAACCGAGUGCCAUGGGAACCGGCCACCAUAUAAACAUCAGGCGCGAUUGUUUUCCCCCAACUCCACCUGCUCUACGCGUUCGAAAGGAGGACGGAGGGCUCACAGCGAGCCCGCAGGGAUCCCACGGACAUUCCCUAACCAGGGACAGCAAACCAACCACAGCGGAUCUCACACUGCAGGCACCCGGGCAUGCCCUGAACCAACUCGCAGCUGACAUCUAAACCAGAACGCUGGCCGUGGAUUUAUUUAAAGAUAAAAGCCAAUUUCAGCACUUGAUUUUGUUCCAAAGCAGAGCAAAACUUUCAGAAUUCAGGAGGAGACAGAUGGGAUGUGGGAGACUAAAGUUCAAGCCCCUGGUCUGCAUCAGACAAAAAUCCCUUACUGCCAACAUGUUCUAAUAAUUCUCAUCCCCUUUUUAAGUUUUAAACAGAAAUUUCAUUUCAAGCCUGGAGAAGCUUCCCCCAAAAACAGUUGCAUUAAGACAGAUAGUAGCUGUGAAAAGUUCCUGUUCAUUCAGCAUUUUCCAUUCAAGGAAUGGCUUACUGGAAAGCUCCCAACCAACUUGAAUAGCAGCAUCCUUUUUCAAUAUGUUUGGGUUUUUCAGCAGUGUGUUAAAAACCCACAGACAAGCAGGCCCUUAUUGUUAUUUAAUAUUUCAUGUUACUCGGGUUACAGCAAUUAAAUGUCUCAAGACACCUUGGGCAACCCAAGUGAACUAACACUCAGUGAUCUAAUUUUUUUGGCCAGUUUGUUGACUACAGGUCCCCCUAAAUCUAGCUAUUUAGUUCUAACAGGAAUUAAAGCUCUCCCCAGCAGAUGGUUUCAACCCAAGAGGGCUCCCUGCCUAGGUAGGACUCUAAAUUUGGGCACCUUGCCUUGACAAGCCCUGCAAAAUGAUGCCUCAGGUUUUAGCUCUUAUAUUUUUCAGAUUCUGUACUGCUUUAGUGUAGUUCUGGGCUUCAUAUUAGGGGAUAGUUAAGCUCUCUUCACAGAGUAGGUAAACAAAACAAUUCCUUCUCUAGCUGGGGACCAAGGACAACAGAUUCAGAUCUCAGGCCCAAGAGCAUAAACAACGUGGGCUGAAGAGAGAAAAACAAGAAGGAUGGGACUGCAUGGGGUAAGGCUGGAAUUGGACCAUUAACUCCAAGAUGCAAAUGGAGCAGAACUUACACAAGUGUGAAACCCCGUGACCUGCUGUCCAUUUUGUGGCCAUUUGGGUUGUGCUGCCCAAAGUAGAUCUAUUUGAGGCCUCUUAAUAAACCCCUACUUUAUUCUUCAGCUCCAUCUAGUCUCUGCUCUAGGUCAGCCUUCACAAGGCAUCAAGAAAGCAGCCCUGGAGAUGAGGGCUCCCACACUGCCAGCUCAGCAGCAGCCCUGUAGGUUGACAGCCCUUUGGGAGCUGUGGGGUCACAAAGCCCUACAAGUCCAGCCCAGAAAUGGAGCUCCCAGCCGUGGCCAGGGCAGCGCUCCCCGAGGAGAGACCCGGCGCGCUGGGGCCCAUCAGCCGCGGCAGGGCCCGAGCCCAACGGAGCCCGUGGAGCCAGCACCAGCUCUGUCUGCAGCACCUGUCCUGCCAAAACAGCAAUCUUUGGCCAUGGAGAAAAGAAAAUAAACCAUGAGCCACCUUUUCUGUCCACAUGCUACUUCUGAAGCUUACGAAAUCCUCGCCUCACACUGCAACUCAUAAAGACAGCCCUGACAGCACGCAAUGCAACGGCAGCAAAGCAGACCACUUCUUGGAAUUAAAUCUGCUUUUUGGAACAAAAUAGCUGGAAAAUAGCCCUCAGUAACUGCAGUACUGCUUUAGAAGACAGCAGUCUUUAAAGACAAGACAAAAAUGUGGCAGCAUCAUAAUCCUGUGUGGGUAAGCAUCUCAAAGUCUUCACAGUGAAGUAUUCCUGCAUUAUUCAUUCUGAGAGGGACAGUAACCCAAGAUAAAGCCUUUUUCCUCUUAUGAAAGCUUCCUUACAUUUUAUUUACUGGGCUGCUCUUUCAAAAAAUUCAAUAAGCAAGAAAAUGUUUUCCCUUAUAAAUUUUUUGGAUUCUUCAUUACCAGCUCCAAACCAAACAGGCACAAUGUGAAUUCCUCAGGAAGAGGGGCAUCAUGUGCAACAAUAUUGCUCCACACAGGGGCUGGGAACCAGAGCCCACAAUGCCUUAUAUCCAGACUUUGAUGAUGUCACAUCCCUGCAAAACCCAUUACGUUCAGGAAGGUACAAUAUCACUUAAUGCUUAAAUGGUAUUUUUCAAGUCCAAUAUAGUUUUCAAAUCUU